UUUUGGGUAGAAUUCGGCGACAGUCGACAAGGCUGCCGCCAAGACGUACAGUCGCGAAGACCGUCGGGAAGGCCGUCGGAAAACUCCUUGGCAACUGUCGGCCAGCUGGUCGGCCAACCAAUUGACAGACAAUCUGCAAGACUGUCGUCAAGACCGUCUGUGACUGUCGGCCAAUCGGUCUGCAGAUUCAUGGUUGUCGUGAACAUGGCGCCAUUUAAAAAAAAAAAAGUGAGCGUUGAUUUUGUCUGUCAUCCUCUGCCCUAGUGACUGUCAUAAUCUUGCUUUUCUCGCCACCAAAUCGGUGAAGAUUCGUUUUACUACCUUGGUCUUUUCAAUGCUGAGCCCAAUACAUUCACACAACCACCCUGCUGGCAGUUACCAGACAGUAAAAACUACAACGCCCUUAUGAGAACUGCAGCGGAGACUGUUGGGUGAAAGGUACAGUGUUGAUUGGCCACGGUGAAGCUUGUGUAAAUGAUCCUCCACAGCCCCCUACCUAUAGAAUAUACCUACAGAAUCACUUAGUUUUUUUAGAAUCACCACCUAGUCUGGACCGUAUGGGGUCUGUGUGGUUCUAUGUAAAUCUAUGUAAACCACAUCUAAAAUUCUUUGUAAGUCUUCCGCAGAGUCCCUCAAGAUCACAUCGUCCGCAUACAACAACACACACAACUUGUCCUCUCCAACUCUCACGCCUGCAUCCAUUGUUCUCGCCCUGACUGCCAGCUCCUCUGCAUACAGGCUAAAUAAUGCUGGGGACAGAUUGCAGCCCUGCCUCACUCCUCUCUCGCUCCUCACCCAGUCUGUCUCUUGGUUCGCUAGCCUGUAUUUUGCUCUUGUGCUUGCAUACAUAUUCUUAACUAUGUUCACAAUCUUAUCACGCAAUCCAAUCUGCUCCAGCCCUCUACACAACAUACUCCUAUUAACACUGUCAUAAGCUUUCUCUAUGUCUAGACAACCUAGGUACAGCUUUUCCCCUGCUCUCUUUUUCCUUUCAGUCAGUUCCUUCACAACAAACCUAUUAUCUUCAGCUCUCCUGUCCACUCGUAAACCAUUCUGCUCCUCCCCUAGGCUGCCCUCCUCCUCUCACUCCAUCCACACAACCUUUCAUUCAGCACUGCACAAAAAACUUUCCCUACUGUGUUUACAAGGGAGAUUGGUCUGUAAUUCUUAAGGGCCUAAUAAAUAGUUUUGAAGUUAUUUAAGUUAGUCUGAUGCGUUUGGAGGCAAUAGAUAAGGAGGAAGUGUUGGCGUCGAGGUAAAUAUUGUUAGGCCCGCCGCCCUUCCUGCCUCCCGCCUGUGCCUGCCUCCCGCCGUGUUGGGGAAUGGCUGCACCUUUUUGUGAAUGUCUCGCUGGGAACGCCGGGAAGCCUGGCAUGGCGGGCAGGAGCAGGAACAGCAGGGACGGGGCCAGCAGGAGGAGGAGGAGCAGAGGUGAGAGGAGACUCCUGGCCGGCUGCGGCAGGAAAGGUGUGCACAGGUGUGUAAGUUUGUCCCCGGUACUCACAGGUGUGUAAGUUGUCCCCAGUACUCACAGGUGUGUAAGUUGUCCCCAGUACUCACAGGUGUGUAAGUUGUCCCCAGUACUCACAGGUGUGUAAGUUUGUCCCCGGUACUCACAGGUGUGUAAGUUUGUCCCCGGUACUCACAGGUGUGUAAGUUGUCCCCGGUACUCACAGGUGUGUAAGUUGUCCCCAGUACUCACAGGUGUGUAAGUUGUCCCCAGUACUCACAGGUGUGUAAGUUGUCCCCAGUACUCACAGGUGUGUAAGUUGUCCCCGGUACUCACAGGUGUGUAAGUUGUCCCCUGUACUCACAGGUGUGUAAGUUGUCCCCAGUACUCACAGGUGUGUAAGUUGUCCCCAGUACUCACAGGUGUGUAAGUUGUCCCCAGUACUCACAGGUGUGUAAGUUGUCCCCAGUACUCACAGGUGUGUAAGUUGUCCCCAGUACUCACAGGUGUGUAAGUUGUCCCCAGUACUCACAGGGGUUAAGAUUCGUUUUGGGUCCGUGCCAGUAUCUCAUUACCUACCUUAUGAAA